rnacentral:rRNA from 1 species
UACGGAGGGUGCGAGCGUUGUCCGGAAUCACUGGGCGUAAAGGGCGCGUAGGCGGACAGUUUAGUCAGAGGUGAAAGCCCAGGGCUCAACCGUGGAAGGUCAUUGGAAACUGAGAGGCUUGAGUACAGAAGAGGAAAGCGGAAUUCCACGUGUAGCGGUGAAAUGCGUAGAGAUGUGGAGGAACACCAGUGGCGAAAGCGGCUUCCUGGUCCGACACCGACGUUCAGGCACGAAAGCGUGGGGAGCAAACGGG